rnacentral:rRNA from 1 species
UACAGAGACUGCAAGCGUUAUUCGGAUUCACUGGGCGUAAAGGGUGCGCAGGCGGCCAGGUGUGUGAGGCGUGAAAGCCCGGGGCUUAACCCCGGAAUUGCACCUCAAACCGUACCAUGGCUAGAGCAUUGGAGAGGUAGCAGAAUUCAUGGUGUAGCAGUGAAAUGCGUAGAUAUCAUGAGGAAUACCAGUGGCGAAGGCGGCUAUCUGGACGGUUUCUGACGCUAAGACGCGAAAGCGUGGGGAGCAAACAGG